GACGAACGCUGGCGGCGUGCUUAACACAUGCAAGUCGAACGGAAAGGCCCUGCUUUUGUGGGGUGCUCGAGUGGCGAACGGGUGAGUAACACGUGAGUAACCUGCCCUUGACUUUGGGAUAACUUCAGGAAACUGGGGCUAAUACCGGAUAGGAUCUCCCGCUGCAUGGUGGGGGUUGGAAAGUUUCGGCGGUUGGGGAUGGACUCGCGGCUUAUCAGCUUGUUGGUGGGGUAGUGGCUUACCAAGGCUUUGACGGGUAGCCGGCCUGAGAGGGUGACCGGCCACAUUGGGACUGAGAUACGGCCCAGACUCCUACGGGAGGCAGCAGUGGGGAAUAUUGCACAGUGGGCGGAAGCCUGAUGCAGCAACGCCGCGUGCGGGAUGACGGCCUUCGGGUUGUGAACCGCUUUCGCCUGUGACGAAGCGUGAGUGACGGUAAUGGGUAAAGAAGCACCGGCUAACUACGUG
rnacentral:rRNA from 1 species